rnacentral:misc_RNA from 1 species
GAUGAAGAACUUAGCGAAAUGCGAUACGUAAUGUGAAUUGCAGAAUUCAGUGAAUCAUCGAAUCUUUGAACGCAUAUUGCGCUCUCUGGUAUUCCGGAGAGCAUGCUUGUUUGAGUAUCAGUAAACACCUCAACUCCCUUUCUUCUUGAAAUGGAGCUGGACUUGAGUGAUCCCAACGCUUUAUUCAUAAAGUGGCGGGUUACUUGAAAUGCAGGUGCAGCUGGACUUUUCUCUGAGCUAUAAGCAUAUCUAUUUAGUCUGCCUCAAAACAGAUUAUUACCUUUGCUGCAGCUAACAUAAAGGAGAUUAGUUCUUGUGCUGACUGAUGCAGGAUUCACAAAGACCGCUUCGGCUGUCUUUGUAAACUCGAUCUCAAAUCAAGUAAGACUACCCGCUGAACUUAAGCAUAUCAAUAAGCGGAGGA